rnacentral:rRNA from 1 species
AGGGUUUGAUUAUGGCUCAGGACGAACGCUGGCGGCGCGCCUAACACAUGCAAGUCGAACGAGAAAGAGGAAGCUUGCUUCCUCAAUCGAGUGGCGAACGGGUGAGUAACGCGUGAGGAACCUGCCUCAAAGAGGGGGACAACAGUUGGAAACGACUGCUAAUACCGCAUAAGCCCACAGGUCGGCAUCGACCAGAGGGAAAAGGAGCAAUCCGCUUUGAGAUGGCCUCGCGUCCGAUUAGCUAGUUGGUGAGGUAAUGGCCCACCAAGGCGACGAUCGGUAGCCGGACUGAGAGGUUGAACGGCCACAUUGGGACUGAGACACGGCCCAG